rnacentral:rRNA from 1 species
CCUACGGGAGGCAGCAGUGGGGAAUAUUGGACAAUGGGGGCAACCCUGAUCCAGCCAUGCCGCGUGUGUGAAGAAGGCCCUCGGGUUGUAAAGCACUUUCAGUGAGGAAGAACGCCUGGUGGUUAAUACCCAUCAGGAAAGACAUCACUCACAGAAGAAGCACCGGCUAACUCCGUGCCAGCAGCCGCGGUAAUACGGAGGGUGUGAGCGUUAAUCGGAAUUACUGGGCGUAAAGCGCGCGUAGGUGGCUUGAUAAGCCGGUUGUGAAAGCCCCGGGCUCAACCUGGGAACGGCAUCCGGAACUGUCAAGCUAGAGUGCAGGAGAGGAAGGUAGAAUUCCCGGUGUAGCGGUGAAAUGCGUAGAGAUCGGGAGGAAUACCAGUGGCGAAGGCGGCCUUCUGGACUGACACUGACACUGAGGUGCGAAAGCGUGGGUAGCAAACAGGAUUAGAUACCCCUGUAGUC